rnacentral:rRNA from 1 species
GACGAACGCUGGCGGCGUGCUUAACACAUGCAAGUCGAGCGAGGGGAGUUCUUCGGAACAAACCUAGCGGCGGACGGGUGAGUAACACGUGGGCAACCUGCCUUAUAGAGGGGGAUAGCCUUCCGAAAGGAAGAUUAAUACCGCAUAAUGUUAUUUUAUCGCAUGAUAAAAUAAUCAAAGGAGCAAUCCGCUAUAAGAUGGGCCCGCGGCGCAUUAGCUAGUUGGUGGGGUAAAGGCCUACCAAGGCGACGAUGCGUGGCCGACCUGAGAGGGUGAUCGGCCACAUUGGGACUGAGACACGGCCCAGACUCCUACGGGAGGCAGCAGUGGGGAAUAUUGCACAAUGGGGGAAACCCUGAUGCAGCAACGCCGCGUGAGUGAUGAAGGCCUUCGGGUUGUAAAGCUCUGUCUUCAGGGACGAUAAUGACGGUACCUGAGGAGGAAGCCACGGCUAACUACGUGCCAGCCGCCGCUGUAAGAC